GUGCUCUCUUCAGCAGCACAUAUACUAAAAUUGGAACAAUAUUGAUAAGAGUAGCAUUGCUCCCGCACAGGGAUGACAUGCAAAUUCAUGAAGUGUUCUACAUUUUU
rnacentral:snRNA from 1 species